CUGAAAUUUACAGCUCCAGAGAAGAAGGAGGAAGGGACAGUCCAGAGUGAAGAGAGAUGAGGCUGACAAUACACAAUUGCCUGCACACAGCCCCUCAGCCAUCCUAUUUUGAACCUGAUUUGGGAAAGAUCUCACUUCUUGGAUGGCGAUGACAGGUCUCGUGGGGAUCUGUGUGAGCAGCUGCGGGGAGGGCCUCUCAUGGAGGGACACAGCUUCAGGAGGAGGGGGAGGCCUUGGCAGUCCAGCAGUCUCACUGCCUGCUUCCUGCUGAACAGCUCCUCCAGACUUCAUCCCAGAGCUCUCCAAGGCUUCAGAACAAUUAAAUUCCAGAAUUUUUGAAACCUGGAGUUCUUUGGCAGAAAAAAAGAAGUCACUUUCUGGAACCUUACUCUGUCUCACCACAGUCUCCGACAAGGGCAGAGUGGUGACCGGGCUCGCUUUUACA